UACGAGGGGGGCAAGCGUUGUCCGGAUUUAUUGGGCGUAAAGAGCGUGUAGGCGGCUUUACAGGUCCGUUGUGAAAACUCGAGGCUCAACCUCGAGACGCCGGUGGAAACCGUAAGGCUAGAGUCCGGAAGAGGAGAGUGGAAUUCCUGGUGCAGCGGUGAAAUGCGCAGAUAUCAGGAGGAACACCGGUGGCGAAGGCGGGUCUCUGGGCCGUAACUGACGCUGGAGGAGCGAAAGCAUGGGGAGCGAACAGG
rnacentral:rRNA from 1 species